UAUCAGAAUAAUAAUUGAAGGUCUUCUC
rnacentral:piRNA from 1 species